CUCUUAGAACUGCCGGCAGGGGGCCGCUGCGCGCACUCGGUGGGUGACGCCAUCGCCGCGCGCCGGCCCCUCCUUCCGUCUCGGCCACUGCCGCCGUCAUGGAGUCCAACAGGGACGAGGCGGAGCGCUGUAUUGCCAUCGCCGUGGCCGCCAUCAAGGCCAGCCAGCCCGACAAGGCGCUCCGCUUCCUGGAGAAGGCCCAGCGCCUCUACCCCUCCCAGCGAGUCCGCGUGCUGAUCGAAUCCCUCACCAAGAAUGAACAAUCAGCCAAUGGCCAGUCCAAAUCCAGGGAGUCCACAAAUGCCCACUUUAGGAAAAUGAGUGGAGACUUCCCAUCAGCCAAUGGGGAGGCAGGUGGGGAGACUAGCAAAGGUUACACCCAAGAUCAGGUGGAUGCAGUUAAGAGGGUAAAGCAGUGUAAAGAUUACUAUGAAAUUCUAGGAGUGAACAGAGAGGCCUCUGACGAAGACCUGAAAAAGGCUUACCGGAAACUAGCACUGAAAUUUCACCCAGAUAAGAACCACGCGCCAGGUGCAACAGAAGCAUUCAAAGCCAUUGGUAAUGCAUAUGCAGUAUUGAGCAACCCAGAGAAGCGGAAGCAAUAUGACCAAUUUGGAGAUGAGAAAGUCAACCCUUCAAGACAUGGACACAGUCAUACAGACUUCCACCGUGGAUUCGAAGCAGACAUCUCACCUGAGGAUCUCUUCAACAUGUUCUUUGGUGGUGGAUUUCCUUCUAGUAACGUUCACGUAUACAGCAAUGGCAGGAUGCGAUAUACCUACCAUCAGAGGCAUGACAGACGAGAACAUCAGGGUGAUGGUGGCCUUGGGUUGUUUGUCCAGCUGAUGCCUAUUCUCAUCCUGAUCAUUGUUUCAGCUCUCAGCCAGAUGAUGGUCUCCAGUCCACCUUACAGUUUGAGCCACAGGCCGUCUGUGGGUCACAUACACAGGAGAGUGACGGAGCACUUGAAAGUAGCUUACUAUGUAGCUGAGAACUUUGCAGAAGAGUACACUGGUAUAAACCUGAAAAAUGUUGAGAGGAGCGUGGAAGACGAUUACAUUGCAAACCUUAGAAAUAACUGCUGGAAGGAAAAGCAACAAAAGGAAGGCUUGCUUUAUCGAGCACGUUACUUUGGAGAUUCAGAUCUGUAUCAAAGAGCACAGAGGAUGGGCACCCCAAGCUGUAGCAGACUGUCUGAAGUUCAAGCCUCUAUGCAUGGAUAGUCACUACUAGACCACUCAGCGGACGUCUAAGUACGAGCUGGUGAUUUUCCUGUGACACUGAAGCAUGACACAUCAAUGAUUUUCAUACUUAUUUAAAUGACUAAUUGAGAUCUAGAUCUUCAUGUGUCUCUCCUCUCAAUGUGCAUGUGUAACAAGGAGAAAGCAUAACCUUCUAUCAAGCAUAUACACCUUCACUGGGAUGGUUGGUUUAAUUUGCAUGCCAGUACCUCAAAUGCUCUUCCAGUUCACAUCUGUUUCUUAGCAUUGCUGGUGUCAGCUCUCUGAGAGCAAAAUGAAAGGCCUGGCUAUGUUUGCGAGUCAGCUGAGUUCUUGUCAAGAAUCCAUUUGAGACAAUGUCACUUUUUGCUUUGGCUGGUCAGAAGUUGUUCCCCUUAUCAAGCAUUUAUCAGAUUGGGCAACUGGCAGUCACAUUUCUAUUUCCAGUUUUUGUUGCUCUAUUCCCUAUUUUAUUGUACCAUGGUACUUGAAGAAAUACGAUAACAGGGAAGAGAUUUCUGUAAGAUAGAUGUUUCUUGUCCCUCUGUCGUCUUCCCUAGACACUCAGUCAAACCAAACCAAACUCUCACUCUAUGCAGCAGGUUGUAAAGGUAACUCACUUCAUUGAAUUGGGAGUCAGGGAGAAGCCAGCAGAGAGUGCUGGAGACUCGUGGUGUCUUCGCAGCACAAUAGCAUGGUAAACCUGAUGAACCAGAGUGGUAUGGUGGCAGUUCAAAUGGCAUAAAUGACAGUAGCACUAGAUUACUCACAGGAGCACUGUGUGCAAAUAAAUUAAAAUUUGGCCCAGGGUGUGGAGUGUCUUUCCUCGGUCAUUAUUAGGUCUGAUAUUUUGCAAAGGCAGGAGGCUUCACCCAUCAGCAACUAACAGGAUGAAUGUAAAACACACAGGCUUUCCCCAUCUCUCACAAAUUUAAUUAAAAGCAGGGGCUUGUUAGUGGGGAACAAAAUUACACUUAGCACCAUAUUUUCAGAUACACCACACCCAUAACACCUUAGUUAUCUUGUAUGUCAGACAUCUGGUCACCUAAGUUGUGUACCCAAGUAAGUUAGGAGGGCUAGGGUUGGGUUUUUUGUUUUGUUUUUCGGCAGGUGGCGCACAUUUGAAAAUUUGGUCCUUAAAGUCAGUUGAGCGCUCAGGUGUCUGCCAUUUUUGAGUGUGUCUUGCAUUUGGGAUUUUUCUUUUUUUGAUAUGCCCUGUACCUUGUUUUGAUAACUGUUCCUCUUAUUAAAUGGAAAUAUUUUAAUUAACUUUGUCACUCUCUCUCUAACUCAGCAUAUCUCUGUGUAUCCAUGGUCUAAUGAAGAGUGUAGCUGUAAAAUAAAGAACUACUUUAGCAUUUUUCAGUUAGACAUGUUACCUGUAAUUUGGGGAGGUGGGUGGGGAAGGUAUUUUCUGUUAAAUGGUUAUCAUGGAUUGGAGACUGACACAGUUACCACUUUUAUUCCCAGACUCUUGAAAUGCCUGAAGACUUUUGGCGAAGUGCACUGAGCCAAGAUGCAGUAGGCAGCAGUUAGGAAAUAAAGCUGCCUGUCUUCUCCCCUUCUUUCCAACACCACUAGAGUGCGACAGUCUAGUCUCUCCUAGGAUACAACAACCAUGAGAACAAGUGUAGAAUAUAAAAAACAAACUGCAGCAAGCCAUGAAGCAGAAGGAGACCCUUCCAUGAUUGCACUGGUCACUUCGAACGGAGAGAGAAAUUGGAAGAUUUUUUUAGGACUAAAAAGAAAAGAAUAUCUAUUUAGAAUUAAUUUAUAGCUGUAUGUAUGUUGUACUUUUAAACUAUGCAGGGAUUGGAUUAAAUUAUUUAGUUUUCUGCCCAAUUUAGUAAACUGUAAAGUGUGAAUUCUAACCUGUUUUGGGGGGCUAUCCAGCCCUGCAGAACUAUCCAAUUUCAGGUUGUCAUUUGAUGACACUUUACAUUUAUUUUAUUUUUUUUUAUGUUGUUGAGAAAAAUAUAGACUGAGUUUUUUUUAUAAAAGAAUCUCAAAAUCUGUAGAAAGAAGAUUUCUUAAAAUUGACCAGACUUCUGAUUUGUUUUCGCUAUAUUAAUUUAAUUGGUGGCAGUCAACUGAGUGCUGGAUUCUUGUACAGCAAGGAGAGGAUUAUCGUAAAUGAUCUUAGCUCAUCAGUGUUCAGUUUGGUUUGUGUGUGUGUGUGUAACUUUUUUUUCCAGAGUCUGCUUUAUUUCUGCCUUGUAAUCAGUGUGCAGCAUUAGUUCUGUAAACAGGGCCUGCCACGAGCUAUAUCCUUUUGUUCUUCUUGUUCCUAAACUCAGAGUUCCUCAUCCAGCAGAUUGCUAACUGUAUUAUGGCCAUAACACUUGCACAUAACCUUGCCAUAACACUUCCGAUGUUUCAAUGUGUAUUGACAUCCCAAAAAAACAGAGUCUUUGAUUCUUGUUUAAGAAGUUUUGGUGGGGAGAUCAGAAAGGGGGAUGAUUAAUUUUCAGUUGCUUAAUUGGGCUUUGACGCAUGUGACUCUAGAUCACACUACAUUUUACCCAUUUUACAGGAAUGGUUUUUCCCAUCAUUCAUUUUAGAAGAAGAAAUUAUGCUGCUAAAAGCCUUGGGUUUACUUGCUUGAGCAAGCAGGACCUGGAUUAGAGCAACAGGAUAGCACUCAAGGUUAUUCUAAAUCCAGUGUAUCUCUUUGACACAUGAAGUGAGAGAGGUAAAAGUUGAAUGAGCUAAGUUACCAUUAAUGGCAUAAACUGGAUUCUUUUCUAACCUGAUGUUAAUUUUUGCCUAAAGACAUUUCCUAUAAGAACAGUUUUCAGAGUUCCCUUAUGGUGGAAUUUAUCAAAAUAGCAAUGGCUGCCAAGUAAGGUGGUAAAGGGCUGGGAGAAAAGUGAAAGGCCAGAUGGGUUUAUUUCUAUUUGUUGUUUGAAAUUGACCAGCUCUGUUUUUUAACUGGAUAUUUAUGUAGCAAAAUGGUUCUGAGCCCUCCUGUUCAUUGCAAGCCUUACUAUCCACGACUGUGAUGUAUCUGAUCUGAUUUCAAGUUUUAAAAGAUAUCCCCCAGGUUUUUGGAGGGGGUAUAGUGGAAAUAAAAUAUUUUGGAAUAAAUGUGUUUACAGAGGCACAAGAGCUACCCAGCAUUAAGAGAUGUUGGAGGGGAAAUGUGAGAGACAACUCAUGUUUGCAAAAGGUGCUGACAUCUUGCAAAAUGGCACGCCUGCUCCAGUGCCCAUCCAACCAAAUCUUUUGAUUUCUCAAGUAGAUAUCCAUGGAUGGUAAGCGCUAUGUGCAAUAAAGCAUAGAUCCUAAAGGAUACUCACAGAAUCUGUAUUUCUUGAUUUAGAAUUAAUUAUACAAUUGUACAUCUAUGAAUAAAUGUUUAUUAUGUGAGA